AUUGAACGCCGGCGGCAUGCCUUACACAUGCAAGUCGAACGGCAGCACGGGAGCAAUCCUGGUGGCGAGUGGCGAACGGGUGAGUAAUAUAUCGGAACGUGCCCAGUCGUGGGGGAUAACGCAGCGAAAGCUGUGCUAAUACCGCAUACGAUCUAAGGAUGAAAGCGGGGGAUCGCAAGACCUCGCGCGAUUGGAGCGGCCGAUAUCAGAUUAGCUAGUUGGUGGGGUAAAGGCCCACCAAGGGGACGAUCUGUAGCUGGUCUGAGAGGACGACCAGCCACACUGGAACUGAGACACGGUCCAGACUCCUACGGGAGGCAGCAGUGGGGAAUUUUGGACAAUGGGCGCAAGCCUGAUCCAGCAAUGCCGCGUGCAGGAUGAAGGCCUUCGGGUUGUAAACUGCUUUUGUACGGAACGAAACGGCCCUUUCUAAUACAGGGGGCUAAUGACGGUACCGUAAGAAUAAGCACCGGCUAACUACGUGCCAGCCGCCGCAGUAA
rnacentral:rRNA from 1 species